CCUACGGGAGGCAGCAGUGAGGAAUAUUGGUCAAUGGACGAGAGUCUGAACCAGCCAAGUAGCGUGAAGGAUGACUGCCCUAUGGGUUGUAAACUUCUUUUAUAUGGGAAUAAAAUGUUCCACGUGUGGGAUUUUGUAUGUACCAUAUGAAUAAGGAUCGGCUAACUGCGUUCCAGCAGCCGCGGUAAUACGGAGGGUCCGAGCGUUAUCCGGAUUUAUUGGGUUUAAAGGGAGCGUAGGUGGAUUGUUAAGUCCGUUGUGAAAGUUUGCGGCUCAACCGUAAAAUUGCAGUUGAAACUGGCAGUCUUGAGUACAGUAGAGGUGGGCGGAAUUCGUGGUGUAGCGGUGAAAUGCUUAGAUAUCACGAAGAACUCCGAUUGCGAAGGCAGUUCACUGGACUGCAACUGACACUGAGGCUCGAAAGUGUGGGUAUCAAACAGGAUUAGAUACCCGAGUAGUC
rnacentral:rRNA from 1 species